rnacentral:rRNA from 1 species
UACGGAGGAUCCAAGCGUUAUCCGGAUUUAUUGGGUUUAAAGGGUGCGUAGGUGGCCUGUUAAGUCAGGGGUGAAAGACGGUAGCUCAACUAUCGCAGUGCCCUUGAUACUGAUGGGCUUGAAUGAACUAGAGGUAGGCGGAAUGUGACAGGUAGCGGUGAAAUGCAUAGAUAUGUCACAGAACACCAAUUGCGAAGGCAGCUUACUAUGGUUUUAUUGACACUGAGGCACGAAAGCGUGGGGAUCAAACAGG